AUUGACCAUUCGCUUGAUUGACCAAUCAAUACGAAAAAAGAAAAAAAGAUAUACUUGCCUCUCUAAGUUAUCUUUAUUAAACAUGGUACAAGCCUAACUGGUGUUAAAGAGAUUUAAAGCAGUUGCUUUUUAAAAGAUGGGAGGUCACAAGGGCCAACCGUAUCAAAUACCGAGUCCCGAUGUUUAUAAAAUAGAGGAUGUACCAGAAUUAAAACGUGUUCAAGAAGAGUUAGCCAAGAGGGGUCUGAAGGAUCCUUGGUUGAGAAAUCAUGUGUGGCGCUACCAAAGUACUCAAUCACCAUUUAUGCGUGGUCUAGUAUGUUUAACUAGAGGUUGGAAACUUGGUGUACCAGCAUUUCUGAUAACCAUAGCUGUUGAACAAUAUUUGGGGAUUGACUACUCAGGUCAUGGACAUCAUCAUGAUGAUGGUCAUCAUUAAUAUUCAGUUUCUAUAUUAAUGUGAUAUGGAAUAGUAGAAAUAUCAUUGUAAAGGAAUAGUUGCGAUACAAGAACUGUCGUUAUACAGGCAAAACUGUAAGAAUUAUACAUUGCCAAAAAGAAGGCAAAUACAGUAAUCUCGAAUGUUGCCAGUAGCCAUUCGUUUCCAUAAAGUAUCACUUUGUUGAAAGAAUAAUUGUUAUCUGCAAUAAAAUUAUCUUUGAAAAUAAUAA